GGGCGUGUUGAGGGGUGGGUGUGGGUGGGUGAGGUGCGCCGGCCACGAGGGUUGAAGGCCCAUCUACCAGUGGUGCUCCUCAGUUGACCCGGUGAGAUGUAGGCUCUCCUCUGCACCAUCUUAUGAUGCCUCCGCGGCUGACGAAAAACCGCGGUCGUGCUAAAGCCAGCGUCAGCACAGUCGUGGGAUCAGCAAAGAAAUAAGAGUACUGAACAGCAGUGGUGGAUGGUGGAAGCGCUGGAUUACACCAUCCACGUACUCGGCUUUAGACCCGUCAUCAUCAUGCACCGCGUGAUCACGGCGUUCCAUGAAUUGGACAUAACUUCGUUCAUAGGAAAUGCCUUGACUUUUCCCGGGUACCUGUAGAGCUCUUGGGCUUGUUAUUUUGUAGAGAACAUGCCCGAUAUCUAUAUUCGUUUGCAUGUCAUGAUGCGAAUAGCUAGUUUGCCAAGACACACCUUCAUGUACAUAUAUGAGUAUUGCAAGCCCAUCCAGAGACUCUGAAAGUCUGGAAGCAUUUCCGACUAACUGUGUUGAUUGGUUCCAAACUGGAUAAGCGUUGUAAAGUAGCACCGCUCACCAGGCAAUGGCUGCUUACGUCCAACUUGUUGCGCCCCUGGAUGUGCUUGCAAUAUCUCCUCGCUGAUCGAGGAGAACGUUGAGCGAGCUUAGAUAUGUCAUGUACCUGGACUAAGUGGCUGACGUGAACUAAGAAGCCUCGUCAAAUGUCUUUGAUGCGUUCACAGUCAACAUUUCUACAUAUGCGAGAACUGACUGGGUAAUUGUGGUGUAUGGCAGUUGUUUACGGCGCCUACGCGCCAGGCAAGUGACAGUUACGCGAGAGAGUUGGCCAUGGGUGGUGGCACGUGGCGGGGGCGCGACGUGUUAGGUCUCCUGGGAGGUUAUAUUAUUGCUAUUGUUGUUAUUACCGAGGUAUUGGGCAAAUACUCACGGAAACACCUGACUUACUGUUUGGUCGGCCUGUGAGAGCGGGCGAUAUUACUGUAAAUAUACAUUUGCCCCAUGUGAAGAAGACAAUGUAUGUACAAAUGUAUGUACAAUUUUGUUUUGUGCUAGUUUAACCAGUGACCCCUAGGGCGAAUGUGCUUUUAAAAAUACCAAUUUGAGAGCAUUGCUUUGGCUACUUAUUCAAGGUGUCGUGCCACUAUUAAACAAUUGCUUAGUGUGCUCAGCACUUUUCAGCCAUGGUUAUUAUUGAUGAUGUUUUUUGACACUGGUUGUGCUCACACGCUUUCAAUCUAGUCAAGAAGAACGUUGACGACUGUGCCUAGUGGUGGGUUUUCAUGCAUGUCAGCACUCAGGGUGUGCCUUUGCUAGUGUACGGGAUUUAUUGGCGUAUGAGAAAGUCUUCCUGACAUAGCGAGGCAUGCCUGGCCGCACCAAUGCGGUAAUAGACCUGCGCUGUUGA